UAAGUCCAAUUACGAUUGCUUAACAUAGCGCUGAAUUUGCCUUAUGGCACACUAACUACUAACAUUGACUAUUAACAUUUAAUUCUUGCCUUUACUUUUAUGCAAUUUACUAUUCUUGCACAUAUUAUUCAUUUUCUUUUCCUUUUGCUCACUUAGGCACAUGUUUAUGUUAAUGCAAUUUUCCUUUUGCUCAAUUGAGCACAUAAUUGUGUGUAUACUAUUGUGCUUGUGUUUUCUUUUGAUUGUUGUGGACCAAAAUGGAAAGAAGUGGACAAAAUGGAC
rnacentral:lncRNA from 1 species